AUGAACGCUAGCGACAGGCCUAACACAUGCAAGUCGAGGGGCAGCACAAGGAGCAAUCUGAGGUGGCGACCGGCGCACGGGUGAGUAACACGUAUGCAACCUGCCUGUAAGCGGGGAAUAACCCGUUGAAAGACGGACUAAUACCGCAUAAUACUAAAUUACUGCAUGGUAAUUUAUUUAAACAUUUUAUGGCUUACAGAUGGGCAUGCGCAUGAUUAGCUAGUUGGAGAGGUAACGGCUCCCCAAGGCAACGAUCAUUAGGGGUUCUGAGAGGAAGGUCCCCCACACUGGUACUGAGACACGGACCAGACUCCUACGGGAGGCAGCAGUGAGGAAUAUUGGUCAAUGGACGAGAGUCUGGACCAGCCAAGUCGCGUGCAGGAAGAAUGUCCCUAUGGAUUGUAAACUGCUUUUGCGAGGGGAAUAAAGUGCAUCACGUGUGAUUGUUUUGUAUGUACUCUGCGAAUAAGGAUCGGCUAACUCCGUGCCAGCAGCCGC
rnacentral:rRNA from 1 species